GGCCCGGUGGCGGAAGAUCAACGCAGGAGCUGUGCAAGGCUCCUUAUCCUGGUUCAAGUCCAGGCCGGGCCUCCA
rnacentral:tRNA from 1 species